rnacentral:lncRNA from 1 species
ACUACAAUUCAUUCCAAAGAAGAUCUAAUUCAAAUAGUUUAUUUGAUUAUUAUUGUCUAAAAACAGUUAUUAAUUCUGGCACAUGUAAAAUACAGUUAUUUCAUUAAUGAUCGACAAAUUCAUCAAUGCAUGCAAAAUUAAGCAGUAAAAAAAUGUGCAGACAACUAAAUCACCUAGAACAAUCACAUUGUCCGACUGGGAUACAGUCACUUACCAAUAAAAUCACACACAAGUAUUACUAGAGACUUGAAAACAGUUACUAAACAAUAGCAUUACAUACAAGUUUUACUGCAGACUGGGAUACAGUCACUUACUAGCAUCAUACAAAAGUAUUGCUGCAGACUAGGAUACAUUUACUUACCAAUAGCAUUACAUACAAAAGUAUUGCUGCAGACUAGGAUACAUUUACUUACCAAUAGCAUUACAUACAAAUAUUACUGCAGACUGGAACAGUCACUUACCAGAAGCAUCAAAUAAUAUUAGUUUUAUGAACUGGAGAAUAGCAGCUGACUAUCCUACCAAUAUUGGUCUUACUGUUGUAUUAAAUAGAUUCAAAUAAUCUGGGUCCUUACCAUGUGCAAACUAAAUGAAAUAUUUAAAACCAUGGUGGAAAUGUUCCCAUUAUUUUUUACUUCAUGAAUACUUGUUCAUACCUUUUCAUUCAGAUUUCUUAAAAAAAAAGUUUCAUUUAAAAACUGACCCCUGGUCCCCUGGUUCUGGGGGUCGAAUGAGAACCCCCAGUUUUUUACAAUCAAUGCUUUUGAAUGGGGACUUAUCCUUGGUUGGAAACAUCACCCUUCGUAAAAAGUCUUGAUCCACCCCUGUGUAGUCUAUAUAGUCAUCAAAAUCUGCUCAUAAAACAGAUCUUAUCUUGCUUAUAAAAAGAGUGAUUCAGAGAUGGACAAAUAGUAUGGUAACUUUGUCAUUGAAGAACAUAUAUUUACCUCCAAAUGUCUCUUGGUUUUGUUGUGUCACUAAGUUUCAUCAACGAUUUAAUCAAAUACAUGUACCACCUCCUUUUAUACAAAUAACACUUACCAUUUUUUUUUUACAUAAUUUGAAAUCAAAACAAUCCUUUUCAAUACCUACCUUUUUGCAGCACCAAAAAUAUUAUUCUUAAAAUAUAAAA